GACGAACGCUGGCGGCGUGCUUAACACAUGCAAGUCGAACGGAAAGGCCUCUUUCGGGGGGUACUCGAGUGGCGAACGGGUGAGUAACACGUGGGUAACCUGCCCUUGACUUUGGGAUAACUUCAGGAAACUGGGGCUAAUACCGGAUAGGAGCUCCUGCUGCAUGGUGGGGGUUGGAAAGUUUCGGCGGUUGGGGAUGGACUCGCGGCUUAUCAGCUUGUUGGUGGGGUAGUGGCUUACCAAGGCUUUGACGGGUAGCCGGCCUGAGAGGGUGACCGGCCACAUUGGGACUGAGAUACGGCCCAGACUCCUACGGGAGGCAGCAGUGGAGAAUAUUGCACAAUGGGUGGAAGCCUGAUGCAGCAACGCCGUGUGCGGGAUGACGGGCUUCGGGUUGUGAACCGCUUUCGCUCAUGACGAAGCUUUGUGUGACGGUAGUGGGUAAAGAAGCACCGGCUAACUACGUG
rnacentral:rRNA from 1 species